UACGUAGGGUGCAAGCGUUGUCCGGAUUUACUGGGCGUAAAGGGCGCGUAGGCGGCCACCGCAAGUCGACUGCGAAAUCUCCGGGCUUAACCCGGAAAGGUCAGCCGAUACUGCGGGGCUAGAGUGCAGAAGGGGCAACUGGAAUUCUCGGUGUAGCGGUGAAAUGCGUAGAUAUCGAGAGGAACACCUGCGGCGCAGGCGGGUUGCUGGGCUGACACUGACGCUGAGGCGCGAAAGCUAGGGGAGCGAACGGG
rnacentral:rRNA from 1 species